GUCCAUUUGAUGAUAUAAAUGGUCUGGCCUGCUCACUGAUAAAUAUAUUUAAGAGCCGCGGUAUCUUGACCGUGCAAAGGUAGCAUAAUCAUUAGGGGUUUAAUUGGAACCUGGUAUGAAGGGUUAGACAAAGGAGAAACUGUCUUUAUAUUAUAAAUUGAAAUUUACUUUUAAGUGAAAAGGCUUAAAUAAAUCAAAGGGACGAUAAGACCCUAUAAAGCUUUAUAAAUUAUUUAAGUUUAAUUGAUUUAAAGAAAUAAGAGUUAAGUUUGAUUAUUUUAUUUUAUUGGGGUGAUAUGAGUAUAAUUUUUGUUAACUGCUUAGGAAAAUUACAAAUUUAAGUGAAUGAAUAAAUGAAUGAUCCUUUUUAAAGAUUAAAAGACUAAGUUACUUUAGGGAUAACAGCGUUAUUUCUUUUGAGAGUUCAUAUCGAAAAAGAAGAUUGCGACCUCGAUGUUGAAUUAAAAUAUCUAUAUAAUGCAGCCGUUAUAAAAGAGGGUCUGUUCGACCUUUAAAUUUUU
rnacentral:rRNA from 1 species